ensembl:lncRNA
AUGGCCAGUGCUUAUCACUGGGAAGCCCGGAGAAGACAGAUGGCUCUAGACCGGAGAAGACACUACCAGCUUCAACAGGAAAUGAAGAACAAAAAGAUAGAGAAUGACCUGGAGGAACAAAGAUACUGCAUGGGGCUUGAACCCUAUCAGCGGUAUCACUCUCUGAGCCCUGAGCGCGAAUACGUGUAUGGCGACAGGAGCCCGGAGACCUCCCAUCGGAACCUGGGGGCGUACAUCACUGGAGAAUCUCCAGAAGACUCAAGAGGCGGCUACGUGUUUCCUGAACUCCCGACGGUGGGCCACUGCAUGUGCCAAUGCCAGUGUCACUUCCAAGGUCAGGGCCACCAUCAGAGCAGGAGCCACGUCCAGGAUGAAGAACAGGACGAGGAGCAGGAUGAAGUCCAGGACUUGGGCCAGAGCAAGAGUCGGGACCGGAACCGAGACCGGGACCUAUGCCAGAGCAAAAGCCAGCGCCACACCAAGAGCCAGAUCCGGGACCGGGAACAGAGCAAGAGCCAGCGCCAGAGCAAAGACCAAGGUCACACUGGACACCAUACUGGUCACCACCAUCACAAAAUUCAUACCUUGGGUUACCAGCAAGCUGCUCAUCACUCCCAAGAGCCCAGACACAAUGCCCCAGACACUCUUCGCCAUCCCAAACGUGGAAAGAGAUACACGGUAAGAACGGGACAGAGAAUGAGUGUGAGAAUGAAUUGUGAAGAGUGCUGGAUUUGGAGUUCAAAUCUGCACUCUACCGCUAUGAUUUGUGUGACCCUGGGCAGAUCAUUCAACCUCUCUGGGCCCCAGUUCCUUCACCUAUAA